CUGGUUUUCUUUUCUUCUAUAAACUUUGCAUUUGUUGCUGAUUUUCAUCAUGCUACUAUCUGAAGCCUCAAGAAACAGUCUGGCCAAAAAGUCUUUAGGGCCUUUUGUCUUAUAAAAUUCAACCUGCAGUGGAAUUCCAUUGAAAGAUAUUUUCUUGUUAUAGUGCCCAGCCUGUAAGGGAAUAUUCCCAAAGGAUCUAUCUUUGUUUCAUACUCUUACUCACACUCAUGAUUUCAAGUGAUAUCUCCGAGUCUACAUCUAUACCACGUGCUCUUCAUCUGACAUCUAUACUUGUUUUUCACUUGACUGAUUAUCACAGCCCUAAUGUUUCAAAAUAAUUAUUUCUCCUCCCAUUCUACAUUUCCAAAGCUCUAUAUCAUCUCACUCCACCAAAUCCUUUAACAUCUACAUAAGUCAAUGAAAUCAGAAAUCUGGGACCCACCUGAGGUUGCUCUCUCAUCACCUCUAACUCAGACAAUACCUGUCCUUUUUGCCUUUAAUUAAUUUACUUACACACUCAUCCAUUCAGUUAUUAAAUGAAAAUUCACUGAAUGGCUAUUAUGUUUCAGGUACACUGAGGAAAAUAGGAGACAAAGACAGACUUGGCUCCUGCUCUCAACGAGGAAAAGGGAGGAAUCAAAACAUGACUGGAUUUUUGGAUUUUCUUCUUACUUCAAAUGAUUCAAAUGAUUUUUGUGAAGCUCAAACUGAACAAAUAGAUAAGUGAGGGGGCCACAUGCCAUUCAUCUCGGCAGAGUGUCUUGCACCUAGACUAUAAUUAAUGAAUGUUCAUUGAGUUAAAAGAGUGAGAUGAAGAGAAUGCUGAGAUGACAAAAGACUGGACAUGAUAAAUAAUCUCCAUUGAGAAAUAUAUUCACAACUUUCCAUUUCAGGCUUUUAAAAGUAAACUGUAAGUUAUUAAUCAUUCUUCCAGCUACAUUUUUAAGCAUCCGUGAAUGGAGUGAACCAAGGACUUAACGACACAGUACUUCACUGAGGAAUAGUCAGGGUCACUGAAUUGAGAUAUGCCUUGAAUCACCACCUGGUUUGAGAGAUUUGGGGAAAAAAAUUAAAUGCUUCCUCCCAAAAUCUAAGUUCCCUAAGUGCUUCCCCU
rnacentral:lncRNA from 1 species